GUGUCCCGAGGCCAUUCCAGGUGUGUCCCACGCCGUGCCCAGGUGUGCCCAGGUGUGCCCAGGUGUGCCAGGUGUGCCCAGGUGUGUCAGGGCUCCAGCAUCAGCUCGCAGGCGCGUGCCAGCUCGGCCAGGCGCCGCCGGGCGUAGUCGAGCCGGUUCAGCGCCAGUUGGCAGCUCUUGCGCGCCGCGUAGCUCGAGCCCUCGUGGGGCUGCCCCGUGGCCACCUGCGGGGAGAGACGCACCUGGGCACACC